UAGAGCUGUAGUCAAAUAUGAUACAUGAUUUGCAAUCAUGAGGUGUUUUAUUAAACCAACUUUAAC
rnacentral:tRNA from 1 species